GUGGAUAACCUGCCGUAUGCAGGGGGAUAACAGUUGGAAACAGCUGCUAAUACCGCAUAAGCGCACAAUACCGCAUGGUACUGUGUGAAAAGAUUUAUCGGCAUACGAUGGAUCCGCGUCCGAUUAGCCAGUUGGCGGGGUAACGGCCCACCAAAGCGACGAUCGGUAGCCGGCCUGAGAGGGCGGACGGCCACAUUGGGACUGAGACACGGCCCAAACUCCUACGGGAGGCAGCAGUGGGGAAUAUUGCACAAUGGGGGAAACCCUGAUGCAGCGACGCCGCGUGAGUGAAGAAGUAUCUCGGUAUGUAAAGCUCUAUCAGCAGGGAAGAAAAUGACGGUACCUGACUAAGAAGCCCCGGCUAACUACGUGCCAGCAGCCGCGGUAAUACGUAGGGGGCAAGCGUUAUCCGGAUUUACUGGGUGUAAAGGGAGCGUAGACGGCGCUGCAAGUCCGGAGUGAAAGCCCAUGGCUUAACCAUGGUACUGCCCUGGAAACUGUGGAGCUUGAGUGCGGGAGGGGCAGGCGGAAUUCCUAGUGUAGCGGUGAAAUGCGUAGGUAUUAGGAGGAACACCGGCGGCGAAGGCGGCCUGCUGGACCGUAACUGACGUUGAGGCUCGAAAGCGUGGGGAGCAAACAGGAUUAGAUACCCUGGUAGUCCACGCCGUAAACGAU
rnacentral:rRNA from 1 species